AGCAGCCGCGGUAAUUCCAGCUCCAAUAGCGUAUAUUAAAGUUGUUGCAGUUAAAAAGCUCGUAGUUGAAUUUCGGGAUUGACACAUCGGUCGUGCCUUAAGGGGUAUGAACUGGUGUAGUCAAUUUCUCACCUUCUGGAGAACCGCGAUGCCCUUAAUUGGGUGUCGCGGGGAACCAGGACCUUUACUUUGAAAAAAUUAGAGUGUUUAAAGCAGGCAUUUUGCUUGAAUACAUUAGCAUGGAAUAAUAAAAUAGGACGGCAUGAUUCUAUUUUGUUGGUUUCUAGGAUCACCGUAAUGAUUAAUAGGGAUAGUUGGGGGCAUUAGUAUUCAAUUGUCAGAGGUGAAAUUCUUGGAUUUAUUGAAGACUAACUACUGCGAAAGCAUUUGCCAAGGAUGUUUUCAUUAAUCAAGAACGAAAGUUAGGGGGUCGAAGACGAUCAGAUACCGUCGUAGUCUUAACCAUAAACUAUGCCGACUAGGAAUCAGACGAUGUUAAUUUUUUAAUGACUCGUUUGGCACCUUACG
rnacentral:misc_RNA from 1 species